UUUGCCUACGGGGGGCAGCAGUGGGGGAUAUUGCACAAUGGGGGAAACCCUGAUGCAGCGACGCCGCGUGAGUGAAGAAGUAUUUCGGUACGUAAAGCUCUAUCAGCAGGGAAGAAUAAUGACGGUACCUGACUAAGAAGCCCCGGCUAACUACGUGCCAGCAGCCGCGGUAAUACGUAGGGGGCAAGCGUUAUCCGGAUUUACUGGGUGUAAAGGGAGCGUAGACGGUGCAGCAAGUCUGAUGUGAAAGGUCGGGGCCCAACCCCGGGACUGCAUUGGAAACUGUUGAACUGGAGUACAGGCGA
rnacentral:rRNA from 1 species